CUACGGGGUGCAGCAGUGAGGAAUAUUGCACAAUGGGGGGAACCCUGAUGCAGCAACGCCGCGUGGAGGAUGACGCAUCUCGGUGUGUAAACUCCUUUUAUAUGUCAAGAAAAUGACGGUAGCAUAUGAAUAAGCACCGGCUAACUCCGUGCCAGCAGCCGCGGUAAUACGGAGGGUGCAAGCGUUACUCGGAAUCACUGGGCGUAAAGGACGCGUAGGCGGGUUGGAAAGUCAGGUGUGAAAUCCUACAGCUUAACUGUAGAACGGCACUUGAAACUUCUAAUCUAGAGUAUGGGAGGGGGAGAUGGAAUUAGUGGUGUAGGGGUAAAAUCCGUAGAUAUCACUAGGAAUACCUAAAGCGAAGGCGAUCUCCUGGAACAUUACUGACGCUAAGGCGUGAAAGCGUGGGGAGCAAACAGGAUUAGAUACCCUAGUAGUC
rnacentral:rRNA from 1 species